rnacentral:rRNA from 1 species
CCUACGGGAGGCAGCAGUGAGGAAUAUUGGUCAAUGGUCGGGAGACUGAACCAGCCAAGCCGCGUGAGGGAGGAAGGUACAGAGGAUCGUAAACCUCUUUUGUCAGGGAACAAAGGCGGGGACGUGUCCCCGGAUGAGUGGACCGGAAGAAAAAGCAUAGGCUAACUCCGUGCCAGCAGCCGCGGUAAUACGGAGGAUGCGAGCGUUAUCCGGAUUUAUUGGGGUUCAAGGGAGCGUAGACGGCAGCGCAAGUCUGGAGUGAAAUCCCCUGGCUUAACCAGGGAACUGCUUUUGAAACUGUGCAGCUUGAGUGCAGGAGAGGUAAGCGGAAUUCCUGGUGUAGCGG